GUAAACAUAUUAUUUUCCACCAAACAAACCAACUACAAUUAACUACAAGAUGUAAUCAACACUACUAGUAACCCACGAGUUCCAAUCUGAGGUUUUGAGACAAAGAUUGAAUACAAGAGAUGAACUAGGGUUUGACAUGAGAUGGUUCUCGUGAAGAUAUUGAUGGAGAUUAGUCCUCCCACGAAGGGAAAAAGCAUUGGUCGUGAUGAUGGCUUUGAUAUUCCCCUGCUCGAGGGAAGUUUCCCCAACAGAAUCACUAUGUCGGAGAGCAAAAGGGUCUCUACCAAGGUUUCGACCUCGAGAUGGCGGCGCUUCAUCCCAAAAUUAUCUUCAUAAUUUUUUAGGUCAAAACCCAUAAUAUACGAGAAGAGUGGGUGGAGGAGCUGGGAGAUGGCCCCAAGCCUUCAGGGCAUGCCCAGGGAGGUGGG
rnacentral:lncRNA from 1 species